rnacentral:rRNA from 1 species
CCUACGGGAGGCAGCAGUGGGGGAUAUUGCACAAUGGGGGGAACCCUGAUGCAGCGACGCCGCGUGAGCGAAGAAGUACCUCGGUAUGUAAAGCUCUAUCAGCAGGGAAGAAAAUGACGGUACCUGAGUAAGAAGCCCCGGCUAACUACGUGCCAGCAGCCGCGGUAAUACGUAGGGGGCAAGCGUUAUCCGGAUUUACUGGGUGUAAAGGGAGCGUAGACGGCAGUGCAAGUCUGGAGUGAAAGGCGGGGGCUCAACCCCCGGACUGCUCUGGAAACUGUACGGCUGGAGUGCAGGAGAGGUAAGUGGAAUUCCUGGUGUAGCGGUGAAAUGCGUAGAUAUUAGGAGGAACCCCAGUGGCGAAGGCGGCUUACUGGACUGUAACUGACGUUGAGGCUCGAAAGCGUGGGGAGCAAACAGGAUUAGAUACCCCUGUAGUC